rnacentral:rRNA from 1 species
AGCGAACGCUGGCGGCAGGCCUAACACAUGCAAGUCGAACGAACCUUUCGGGGUUAGUGGCGGACGGGUGAGUAACACGUGGGAACGUGCCUUUAGGUUCGGAAUAACUCGGGGAAACUUGUGCUAAUACCGAAUGUGCCCUUCGGGGGAAAGAUUAAUCGCCUUUAGAGCGGCCCGCGUCUGAUUAGCUAGUUGGUUGAGGUAACGGCUCACCAAGGCGACGAUCAGUAGCUGGUCUGAGAGGAUGAUCAGCCACAUUGGGACUGAGACACGGCCCAAACUCCUACGGGAGGCAGCAGUGGGGAAUCUUGCGCAAUGGGCGAAAGCCUGACGCAGCCAUGCCGCGUGAAUGAUGAAGGUCUUAGGAUUGUAAAAUUCUUUCACCGGGGACGAUAAUGACGGUACCCGGAGAAGAAGCCCCGGCUAACUUCGUG